rnacentral:rRNA from 1 species
UACGGGGGGGGCAAGCGGUUGUUCGGAAUUACUGGGCGUAAAGGGCUCGUAGGCGGCCAACUAAGUCGGACGUGAAAUCCCUCGGCUUAACCGGGGAACUGCGUCCGAUACUGGAUGGCUUGAGUUCGGGAGAGGGAUGCGGAAUUCCAGGUGUAGCGGUGAAAUGCGUAGAUAUCUGGAGGAACACCGGUGGCGAAGGCGGCAUCCUGGACCGACACUGACGCUGAGGAGCGAAAGCCAGGGGAGCAAACGGGG